rnacentral:rRNA from 1 species
GCGUGAGAUCUACCCUUAGGAGGGGGGAUAACAGUUGGAAACGACUGCUAUUACCCCAUAUGCCGCAAGGUGAAAUCUUUUUUGGCCUGAGGAUGAGCUCGCGGUGGAUUAGCUAGUUGGUGGGGUAAUGGCCUACCAAGGCAACGAUCCAUAGCUGGUCUGAGAGGAUGAUCAGCCACACUGGGACUGAGACACGGCCCAGACUCCUACGGGAGGCAGCAGUGGGGAAUUUUCCGCAAUGGGCGAAAGCCUGACGGAGCAAGACCGCGUGAGGGAUGAAGGCCUUCCGGUCUGUAAACCUCUUUUCGUCAGGGAAGAACACAAUGACGGUACCUGAGGAAUAAGCCUCGGCUAACUCCGUGCUUCAGCAGCCGCGGUAAGACGGAGGAGGCAAGCGUUAUCCGGAAUAUAUUGGGCGUAAAGCGUCCGCAGGUGGCUUUCCAAGUCUGCUGUUAAAGCCCGAGGCUCAACCUCGGAUCGGCGGUGGAAACUGGAUCGCUAGAGUGCGUCAGGGGUAGGGGGAAUUCCCGGUGCUAGCGGUGAAAUGCGUAGAUAUCGGGAAGAACACCAGCGACGAAAGUGCCCUACUGGGACGUUACUGACACUCAUGGACGAAAGCUAGGGGAGCGAAAGGGAUUAGAUACCCCUGUAGUCCUAGCCGUAAACGAUGGACACUAGGUGUUGCUGGUAAUCCACUCCAGCAGUGCCGUAGCCAACGCGUUAAGUGUCCCGCCUGGGGAGUCACGCACGCAAGUGUGAAAACUCAAAGGAAUUCGACGGGGGGCCCGCACAAGCGGUGGAGUAUGUGGUUUAAUUCGAUGCAACGCGAAGAAACCUUACCAGGGCUUGACAUGUUCGCGAAAUCCCCCUGAAAAAGGGGGAGUGCCUUCGGGAGCGCGAACACAGGUGGUGCAUGGCUGUUCGUCAGCUCGUGGUCGUUGAGAUGUUGGGUUAAGUCCCGCAAACGAGCGCAACCCUCGAUGCCUUAGUUGCCAGCAUUCAGUUGGGCACUCUAGGGAGACUGCCGGUGACUAACCGGAGGAAGGUGGGGAUGACGUCGAGUCACGUCCUCUGCGCCCUGGGCUACAGCGUAUAGAUGCUGUGGAUGAGAGUUGCCACUCGCGAGGCGAGUUACUCUUGACGCGGCUCAUUCAUUUGCAGCUGCACUCCCUGCUUAGCGUACGCUAUGUC